GAUCCUGGCUCAGGAUGAACGCUAGCUACAGGCUUAACACAUGCAAGUCUAGGGGCAGCAUGGUCUUAGUUUGCUAAGGCUGAUGGCGACCGGCGCACGGGUGAGUAACACGUAUCCAACCUGCCGUCUACUCUUGGCCAUCCUUCUGAAAGGAAGAUUAAUCCAGGAUGGGAUCAUGAGUUCACAUGUCCGCAUGAUUAAAGGUAUUUUCCGGUAGACGAUGGGGAUGCG
rnacentral:rRNA from 1 species